rnacentral:lncRNA from 1 species
UAAGGUCUAAGUAUAAUGUCAAGACAUCUCAUCUGACAUCAGUAGGUCCAAUGAUGUUGGAAGAAGAACAAGAUCUAAUGAAAACUCCAAACAAGGAAAAGGAGUUCAGUGCCAUGAAUAUGAUGGGUAUGGACACAUUAGAGCUGAAUGUGGGACCUACCUCAAGAAACAGAAGAAGAGUCUUGCUUCUACUUGGUCUGAUGAAAGUGAAAAAGAGGGAGAGUCUGCAAAC